rnacentral:rRNA from 1 species
GCAGUAGGGAAUCUUCCACAAUGGGCGCAAGCCUGAUGGAGCAACACCGCGUGAGUGAAGAAGGGUUUCGGCUCGUAAAGCUCUGUUGUUAAAGAAGAACACGUAUGAGAGUAACUGUUCAUACGUUGACGGUAUUUAACCAGAAAGUCACGGCUAACUACGUGCCAGCAGCCGCGGUAAUACGUAGGUGGCAAGCGUUAUCCGGAUUUAUUGGGCGUAAAGAGAGUGCAGGCGGUUUUCUAAGUCUGAUGURAAAGCCUUCGGCUUAACCGGAGAAGUGCAUCGGAAACUGGAUAACUUGAGUGCAGAAGAGGGUAGUGGAACUCCAUGUGUAGCGGUG